UACGAAGGGGGCUAGCGUUGCUCGGAAUCACUGGGCGUAAAGCGCACGUAGGCGGAUUUGUUAGUCAGGGGUGAAAUCCCGGGGCUCAACCUCGGAACUGCCUUUGAUACUGCAAAUCUCGAGUCCGAUAGAGGUGGGUGGAAUUCCUAGUGUAGAGGUGAAAUUCGUAGAUAUUAGGAAGAACACCGGUGGCGAAGGCGGCCCACUGGAUCGGUACUGACGCUGAGGUGCGAAAGCGUGGGGAGCAAACAGG
rnacentral:rRNA from 1 species